rnacentral:rRNA from 1 species
AACCGGAGCUAAUACGGAUAAUAUAUUGAACCGCAUGGUUCAAUGGUGAAAGACGGUUUUGCUGUCACUUAUAGAUGGAUCCGCGCCGCAUUAGCUAGUUGGUAAGGUAACGGCUUACCAAGGCAACGAUGCGUAGCCGACCUGAGAGGGUGAUCGGCCACACUGGAACUGAGACACGGUCCAGACUCCUACGGGAGGCAGCAGAA